rnacentral:misc_RNA from 1 species
CCUCGAUAUUGUCGAUUGUUGACAACAAGAGUGGGCAAUAUCGUUACAUCACCCCUUGAUCCUUUCCCAAUCUGGGCAUCUUGCUCUUCUUUCAAAACAGAAUUCUCAGAAUCAGCAUUUGGGUCUCCCAUACAUUUAUCAACCUUUUUAACAUCAAGCCCAAGGGCUCUGAUAACACCAUCAGCACAUUCUUUGUUGUAUUUUUUCUCCUUCAUAGGACAUCUGAUUUGGAAAUCAGUCACAUAAUCCCACCAUAUCCAAGGUCUUUUGCUCCCAUUUGCAACUCUAUAAACACAGAGUUGUCUUAGAUUUUCAAGAACAACAUCUUUACCCUCAUAACCAGUGCUGAAAUCCUGUUCAGGAUCAGGAGC